UUCAGAAGUGCACUUUAUUUAAGGAAGUUCUGUCGUACGCUGAGCAGAUAGAUAGAUGGAUAGAUAGUAUCAAGUGAAACUUCCCUUUUCCUAUUUUUCUGGCAGCAAUCUCCAGUCCAGUCAGUCUGAGUAUAUCUGCUCAUAUGAGAGUCAGUCAGUGAUACCUGAGACAUGUCUGAAGAGUUCUGCUAUUCCGUUGUGGUCUAUGAUUCUUCGACUGCCGAAUGAAGAAACCGUAUACACAGACGUGAAGAAAGCAGAACUAGCUCGAGAGAAGCUCCAUCCAGCGCUGCAUACAUGUGUAGCUCUGUUUGCCUGCAAUGACUGACACCCUGCUGCCCCUGGGAGAAAAGCCUAGAGCCGCCUAUGUAUUCCAGGACAACUGUUCAGGAAACUUGGUUCCCUGCUCAGGCUCCAGAGAAACCUGAGCACAGAUAUCAGCCCCAGCAGUGCGCUGUAGUAUUUCUAAGCCUCACCUGUGCUUUUUUACUGGCUGGCAUCAUCGCUCUCUCUGUCUGCUAUUAUCUUACUGCAGGGCAACUCAAAAAGGAAAAUGGUGCCCUUAUGGAAGCCAAUCACCAGCUACAAGAACUUGAAAAUAACCUCACUGCUCUGAAGGACUCACUGGAGAGUGAGAACACACAGCUGCGAAAGGAUCGGACUUUGCUGGAUGAGAUUUUACAGUUCAGUAACUUUCCUGUGGAAAAUUAUUGUCCAAAAGGUGAAUCUUGGCCUUUUCAGUUACUGUUACUGGAUCGGACUGACUGGAAACGGAAAGGAUUGGGUCUGGAUCAACGGCUCUUCACUGACACACAGUACUUGAUGCGGCCAGUUAAACACAACCAUAGAAGGACCUGAUUCCUGACAGCCCGUCCUCAUUCGUGGGUGAUGGAGCUGCACUGUCAGUGUCACCAUCUGGAUCUCCAUCCUGCGCUGCCCCAUCCCUGCCACAGGCUCCUCACAUUUCAGACUCUACAAGCAGAUUCCUUACAGAUCUGUGGCCUCAUUCGUUUUUUUGAUGGUCAUUUUCACAUCAAACCACUUGUUCCUCACCUCUGCCAGCAUUUCAGUUACAGAUCGUACAGCAUUAACUGUCACCUGUCCUCAUGCUAGGUCCCUCUCUUAUGUCGACAGGCCACUGGCAAAGU